CUGAGUUACCGCUCUACAACCCUUUGUGAACAUACCUAACCGUUGCUUCGGCGGGCAGGGGAAGCCUCUCGUGGGCGGACCCUCCCGGCGCCGGCCCCGUCACGGGGGCGGAGCGCCCGCCGGAGGAAACCAAACUCUAUUUACACGACGUCUCUUCUGAGUGGCACAAGCAAAUAAUUA
rnacentral:misc_RNA from 2 species